AUUGAACGCUGGCGGCAGGCCUAACACAUGCAAGUCGAACGGUAACAGGGAUCAGCUUGCUGAUUCGCUGACGAGUGGCGGACGGGUGAGUAAUGUCUGGGAAACUGCCUGAUGGAGGGGGAUAACUACUGGAAACGGUAGCUAAUACCGCAUAACGUCGCAAGACCAAAGGGGGGGACCUUCGGGCCUCUUGCCAUCGGAUGUGCCCAGAUGGGAUUAGCUAGUAGGUGGGGUAACGGCUCACCUAGGCGACGAUCCCUAGCUGGUCUGAGAGGAUGACCAGCCACACUGGAACUGAGACACGGUCCAGACUCCUACGGGAGGCAGCAGUGGGGAAUAUUGCACAAUGGGCGCAAGCCUGAUGCAGCCAUGCCGCGUGUAUGAAGAAGGCCUUCGGGUUGUAAAGUACUUUCAGCGGGGAGGAAGGGAGUAAAGUUAAUACCUUUGCUCAUUGACGUUACCCGCAGAAGAAGCACCGGCUAACUCCGUG
rnacentral:rRNA from 1 species